GGUCCCGCCUGCCCUGUGACCCCUGGUUUAACGGCCGCGGUAUUUUGACCGUGCAAAGGUAGCGCAAUCACUUGUCCCUUAAAUGAGGACCCGUAUGAAUGGCACAACGAGGGCUUAACUGUCUCCUUUCCCCGGUCAAUGAAAUUGAUCUUCCCGUGCAGAAGCGGGAAUUCUAACAUAAGACGAGAAGACCCUAUGGAGCUUUAGACUUUAGAACAGACCAUGUCAGCUACCCCCUUAAACAAGUAGUAAUUAUUGAACCCCUGUUCCCCUGUCUUUGGUUGGGGCGACCACGGGGAAGAAAAAAACCCCCACGUGGACUGGGAGCACCUUACUCCUACAACUACGAGCCACAGCUCUAAUGCGCAGAAUUUCUGACCAUAAGAUCCGGCAAAGCCGAUCAACGGACCGAGUUACCCUAGGGAUAACAGCGCAAUCCCCUUCAAGAGUCCAUAUCGACAAGGGGGUUUACGACCUCGAUGUUGGAUCAAGACAUCCUAAUGGUGCAGCCGCUAUUAAGGGUUCGUUUGUUCAACGAUUAAAGUCUU
rnacentral:rRNA from 1 species